rnacentral:lncRNA from 1 species
UGACUGGGUGUAAGUAAAUACACUAAAGUGCUAAGAUCAUGUGAAGAUUGUGCGAAUAAUCACGGGUCCCCUAUGAGUCGGAGCCACUUAAAGAUGUCUGUAUGACACGAUUGUGCACCAAACUUGGAUCCAAGGUGAGCGUGCAGUGCAGGAGGUGAACAUCACAUGAAGGACUAUGCCCUGGCCACAGGCGAGAGCACUAACACCGGGGUGCAGGUUUAGGAGCUCUAAAUGUUUCAAUGUAAUCAUAAUCAUGUAACUCACAUCCACAAUCUAUAAACUCACCUGGAACUUACCUGAGCAUUUGUAGCACCAACAAUAAUAUAUGCGACUACUAAAUGCAUAUUCUAAAUAUAAAACAUUUGGCAUGGCAUUCGAAACAUAAAACCAUUUAGAUAAGUUUUCGAGGAAAAAUACCAAGCAUGUAUAUAUAUUGAAAACCAAAAGCCCACUCACUGGUAUGUGGUAGGGUCGUAACCCCCGAGCCUCGUCUGACUGCGCUCGUCCUCAGGAAACGUUUCACAUGUGAAACAACUAUUUUAACGUUAUUUUAAGCACAUAACCAAAACUAUGUAAUAACUUCUCAUACGUUACUCAAUUGGGGUAUUUGAAUAUACCAUCGUGACCUACUCAACCCCACGAACAUCCCCAUAUUUUUAGAAAAAAUUUCUAAGUUCCCACGCGCCCUCACGCGCCGGCAAAGGCACAACCAAAUGCUUCACCCACACGCAGGCACGUGCCUGGCACACUGACGCAUUCCCUAACGGUGUUAGGGAAUAUUCCGUUAAAUAACAGUAUAUUCCGUCUAAAAACUAGUGGUGUUACUUGACGCCGUUAUCAUAUUCCGUCAAAAUUGACGGAAUAUUCUCCUUCUCCCUUGUUGGUUCG